rnacentral:rRNA from 1 species
GGCGCUGGUGGGAUACCGCCCUGACUGUAUUGAAAUUCUAACCUACGGGUCUUAUCGACCCGGGAGACAGUGUCAGGUGGGCAGUUUGACUGGGGCGGUCGCCUCCUAAAGUGUAACGGAGGCGCCCAAAGGUUCCCUCAGAAUGGUUGGAAAUCAUUCGUAGAGUGCAAAGGCAUAAGGGAGCUUGACUGCGAGACCUACAAGUCGAGCAGGGACGAAAGUCGGGCUUAGUGAUCCGGUGGUUCCGCAUGGAAGGGCCAUCGCUCAACGGAUAAAAGCUACCCCGGGGAUAACAGGCUUAUCUCCCCCAAGAGUCCACAUCGACGGGGAGGUUUGGCACCUCGAUGUCGGCUCAUCGCAUCCUGGGGCUGUAGUCGGUCCCAAGGGUUGGGCUGUUCGCCCAUUAAAGCGGUACGCGAGCUGGGUUCAGAACGUCGUGAGACAGUUCGGUCCCUAUCCGUCGUGGGCGUAGGAAAUUUGAGAGGAGCUGUCCUUAGUACGAGAGGACCGGGAUGGACGCACCGCUGGUGUACCAGUUGUUCUGCCAAGGGCAUAGCUGGGUAGCUAUGUGCGGAAGGGAUAAGUGCUGAAAGCAUCUAAGCAUGAAGCCCCCCUCAAGAUGAGAUUUCCCAUAGCGUAAGCUAGUAAGAUCCCUGAAAGAUGAUCAGGUUGAUAGGUUCGAGGUGGAAGCAUGGUGACAUGUGGAGCUGACGAAUACUAAUAGAUCG